UUGAUUUGGGGUUAAACUAAUCCCAAUCUUAUAUUUCUCCGCCAAUCUGAGGAGCGACCAAACACACCUAAAUUUUCAUCUCUUAAAUUUUCUCGUCAAAGUUGUAUAAUCCCAAACAUUUCUCUCCUAGUGAAGUGUUACAUGUUACGUUGGGUUGAAUUGAGUACUCAAUUUCAGUGACAAGUGAGAGGGCUCUGUAAUGGAGGCCAGGCGCUGUGUAAGAGAGUUGUGGAUGGUUUUUGGGGGAAACAGAAGGUCAAUUUUAGUGAGAAGUGAGAGGGGCUUUGUAUUUUCUUGAUCUUGAUAACAUGGAGGCCAGGCGCCGUGCAAGAGAGGGAAAUUAGCAUCUUUUUUGUAAUGGAGUUGUUGCAAUGGAUUACCCUGGUGGGCUUUAAGAAGGCCUUCCUUCAUGGUUACAUACCAAGUUUUGACUAGCGGGUUGAGUGUUGACGAUGUCAUUGAGCAUUACUUAAAAUUUAAAGACUGUCCUGGAGUUGCUGAAUGCCACAAAAGAGAUAGAGGGACUACUAGAAAGGUGCGUCACCUGUUUCAACUUUUCUUUUGAAUUAGUGUAAAAGUUCAUCGUUGUGUUAAAUUUUUUAAGAAGUUGAUAUCUGAAUAUUUUCCAUUUAUGGGAGUUGCUCCACUGUCCGAAUUUGUUGAAUUCGGUCAUAUGCUUAUUCUAUCAUGUUUUGCUCUUGUAGUUUAGGAAACACUUGUCCUCAUUUAGCUUGAUAAAGAGUCACAAGAACUGUCCAUAUCUGUGCAGACAAGUUAAUUUAGCACAAUUUUAAGUAAUUACACAAGAACUGUCCAUAUCUGUGCAAUUAACCAUCCCGUUUAAAUAAAUACACAAAGCUAUUGUUCAUGCCUUUUUUUG